rnacentral:rRNA from 1 species
CCAGACUCCUACGGGAGGCAGCAGUGGGGGAUAUUGCACAAUGGGGGAAACCCUGAUGCAGCGACGCCGCGUGAGUGAAGAAGUAUUUCGGUACGUAAAGCUCUAUCAGCAGGGAAGAAAAAAAGUCCUUUGGACUUUGGACGGUACCUGACUAAGAAGCCCCGGCUAACUACGUGCCAGCAGCCGCGGUAAUACGUAGGGGGCAAGCGUUAUCCGGAUUUAUUGGGUUUAAAGGGUGCGUAGGCGGGCUUUUAAGUCAGCGGUAAAAAUUCGGGGCUCAACCCCGUCCGGCCGUUGAAACUGGGGGCCUUGAGUGGGCGAGAAGAAGGCGGAAUGCGUGGUGUAGCGGUGAAAUGCAUAGAUAUCGCGCAGAACCCCGAUUGCGAAGGCAGCCUUCCGGCGCCCUACUGACGCUGAGGCACGAAAGUGCGGGGAUCGAACAGGAUUAGAUGCCCGCGUA